UUUUUUAGAAUUGCACAUACAUCCGGAACAGUGGAUAUCCCUCGGCCGACACCACCGUAAGCGAAACGUGUACAUACAACUUCGACCGGAUUUGCGACAAUCUUUGCCAAAUCAGGUUGGAUUUUGAUACUUUCAAUUCGUUGAGUUCAGCAGCAGGCUUGUGUGGAACCGCGGCAGAUGCAAUAACAGUCACUAGUCCAUUUUCAUCUGCAUCCAACUCGUUUCCUCCAACGUUAUGUGGAACACUUACGGGACAACACA